CCUACGGGAGGCAGCAGUGAGGAAUAUUGGUCAAUGGACGAGAGUCUGAACCAGCCAAGUAGCGUGAAGGAUGACUGCCCUAUGGGUUGUAAACUUCUUUUAUAAAGGAAUAAAACGAGGCACGUGUGCCUUUUUGCAUGUACUUUAUGAAUAAGGAUCGGAUAACUCCGUGCCAGCAGCCGCGGUAAUACGGAGGAUCCGAGCGUUAUCCGGAGUUAUUGGGUUUAAAGGGAGCGUAGAUGGGUUGUUAAGUCAGUUGUGAAAGUUUGGGGCUCAACCGUAAAAUUGCAAUUGAUACUGGCAGUCUUGAGUACAGUAGAGGUAGGCGGAAUUCGUGGUGUAGCAGUGAAAUGCUUAGAUAUCACGAAGAACCCCGAUUGCGAAGGCAGCUUACUAAACUGUGACUGACAUUGAUGCUCGAAAGUGUGGGUAUCAAACAGGAUUAGAUACCCGGGUAGUC
rnacentral:rRNA from 1 species